CUGCAUGAAGCUGGAAUCGCUAGUAAUCGCGGAUCAGCAUGCCGCGGUGAAUACGUUCCCGGGCCUUGUACACACCGCCCGUCACACCACGAGAGUUUGUAACACCCGAAGUCGGUGGGGUAACCUUUUGGAGCCAGCCGCCUAAGGUGGGACAGAUGAUUGGGGUGAAGUCGUAACAAGGUAGCCGUAUCGGAAGGUGCGGCUGGAUCACCUCCUUUCUAAGGAA
rnacentral:rRNA from 1 species